rnacentral:rRNA from 1 species
AGCAGUGAGGAAUAUUGGUCAAUGGCCGAGAGGCUGAACCAGCCAAGUCGCGUGAAGGAUGAAGGAUCUAUGGUUUGUAAACUUCUUUUAUACGGGAAUAAAGUGUGGGACGUGUCCCAUUUUGUAUGUACCGUAUGAAUAAGCAUCGGCUAACUCCGUGCCAGCAGCCGCGGUAAUACGGAGGAUGCGAGCGUUAUCCGGAUUUAUUGGGUUUAAAGGGUGCGUAGGUUGUUUUUUAAGUCAGCGGUGAAAGUUUGUGGCUCAACCAUAAAAUUGCCGUUGAAACUGGAAGACUUGAGUGUGUUUGAGGUAGGCGGAAUGCGUGGUGUAGCGGUGAAAUGCAUAGAUAUCACGCAGAACUCCGAUUGCGAAGGCAGCUUACUAAACCAUAACUGACACUGAAGCACGAAAGCGUGGGGAUCAAACAGGAUUAGAUACCCUGGUAGUCCACGCAGUAAACGAUGAUUACUAGGAGUUUGCGAUAGACAGUAAGCUCUACAGCGAAAGCGUUAAGUAAUCCACCUGGGGAGUACGCCGGCAACGGUGAAACUCAAAGGAAUUGACGGGGGCCCGCACAAGCGGAGGAACAUGUGGUUUAAUUCGAUGAUACGCGAGGAACCUUACCCGGGCUUAAAUUGCAAAUGAAUUAUGGGGAAACCCAUACGCCGCAAGGCAUUUGUGAAGGUGCUGCAUGGUUGUCGUCAGCUCGUGCCGUGAGGUGUCGGCUUAAGUGCCAUAACGAGCGCAACCCUUAUCACUAGUUACUAACAGGUAAAGCUGAGGACUCUGGUGAGACUGCCAGCGUAAGCUGUGAGGAAGGUGGGGAUGACGUCAAAUCAGCACGGCCCUUACAUCCGGGGCGACACACGUGUUACAAUGGCAUGGACAAAGGGCAGCUACACGGCGAUGUGAUGCUAAUCUCCAAACCAUGUCUCAGUUCGGAUCGGAGUCUGCAACUCGACUCCGUGAAGCUGGAUUCGCUAGUAAUCGCGCAUCAGCCAUGGCGCGGUGAAUACGUUCCCGGGCCUUGUACACACCGCCCGUCAAGCCAUGGGAGCCGGGGGUACCUGAAGUGCGUAACCGCGAGGAGCGCCCUAGGGUAAAACUGGUGACUGGGGCUAAGUCGUAACAAGGUAGCCGUACCGGAAGGUGCGGCUG